CUUAAGAUGAGAUAUCCCAUUCGAAAGAAGUAAACCCCCUUGAAGACGACGAGGUAGAUAGGGCAGAGGUGGAAGUGUGGCAACACAUGGAGCUGACUGUUACUAAUCGGGUGAGGGCUUGACCAAG
rnacentral:rRNA from 1 species